CAGAGGGUGCGAACGUUGCUCGGAAUUACUGGGCGUAAAGCGCGUGUAGGCGGUUUCGCAAGUCCGAUGUGAAAGCCCGGGGCUCAACCCCGGAAGUGCAUUGGAUACUACGGAGCUGGAGUCCUGAAGAGGAGAGCGGAAUUCCCGGUGUAGAGGUGAAAUUCGUAGAUAUCGGGAGGAACACCAGUGGCGAAGGCGGCUCUCUGGACAGGAACUGACGCUGAGACGCGAAAGCGUGGGUAGCAAACAGGAUUAGAUACCCUGGUAGUCCACGCCGUAAACGAUGAGUGCUGGGUGUCGCGGGUAUUGACCCCCGCGGUGCCGAAGCCAACGCGUUAAGCACUCCGCCUGGGAAGUACGGCCGCAAGGCUA
rnacentral:rRNA from 1 species